GAAUCAACGCUGGCGGCGUGCCUCAGACAUGCAAGUCGAACGCGAAAGUCCCCUUCGGGGGACGAGUAGAGUGGCGCACGGGUGAGUAACACGUAGGUAAUCUACCUUUGGAUGGGGAAUAACAACCGGAAACGGUUGCUAAUACCGCAUAAUGCAGCGGCACCUAAUGGUGACAGUUGUUAAAGCGGGGGAUCGAAAGACCUCGCGUCUGAAGAGGAGCCUGCGGCGGAUUAGCUAGUUGGUAAGGUAACGGCUUACCAA
rnacentral:rRNA from 1 species